rnacentral:rRNA from 2 species
UGCAGUCGAGCGGACAGAUGGGAGCUUGCUCCCUGAUGUUAGCGGCGGACGGGUGAGUAACACGUGGGUAACCUGCCUGUAAGACUGGGAUAACUCCGGGAAACCGGGGCUAAUACCGGAUGGUUGUUUGAACCGCAUGGUUCAAACAUAAAAGGUGGCUUCGGCUACCACUUACAGAUGGACCCGCGGCGCAUUAGCUAGUUGGUGAGGUAACGGCUCACCAAGGCGACGAUGCGUAGCCGACCUGAGAGGGUGAUCGGCCACACUGGGACUGAGACACGGCCCAGACUCCUACGGGAGGCAGCAGUAGGGAAUCUUCCGCAAUGGACGAAAGUCUGACGGAGCAACGCCGCGUGAGUGAUGAAGGUUUUCGGAUCGUAAAGCUCUGUUGUUAGGGAAGAACAAGUACCGUUCGAAUAGGGCGGUACCUUGACGGUACCUAACCAGAAAGCCACGGCUAACUACGUGCCAGCAGCCGCGGUAAUACGUAGGUGGCAAGCGUUGUCCGGAAUUAUUGGGCGUAAAGGGCUCGCAGGCGGUUUCUUAAGUCUGAUGUGAAAGCCCCCGGCUCAACCGGGGAGGGUCAUUGGAAACUGGGGAACUUGAGUGCAGAAGAGGAGAGUGGAAUUCCACGUGUAGCGGUGAAAUGCGUAGAGAUGUGGAGGAACACCAGUGGCGAAGGCGACUCUCUGGUCUGUAACUGACGCUGAGGA